rnacentral:misc_RNA from 1 species
UUUUUCUUCAGCAACCAAAUGGAUAAUUUAUAGCAACCAAUCAAUAAGGGGGAAAGAAGAAAUUGAAAAAACAAUCAUAAGUCACUAAUAGUCUCAAGUUUAGCACUUUCAUCAUUCUCACCAUUCCACAGUGGAGAAAACCAUAAAAUUUUGCUAAACAAAACCAGAGACUCAACAAUUUGUUCCAGGGAGCUACUCAAGCUUUUUGCACCAUUUUGAGCUACUAAUUCCAUAAAAAAUGCUUCCAGUUCAAUAGAGCGAGAACACAAAAGAGAAAUCCUAAACAAAUCCAAAUUUAAGAUCCCAGUCUUAAUUGAAGCAAAUGCCCCUAAUUCAGCAACCAUACAAACACAAAAUUCCCAAAACCAAAGAGGAAAAAGAACAACUUUAAAGUAAAAUACACAAAUUUAAAUUCCCACAACACUCACCGCAAUGAAUAGGCACCACAUGGGCGUUAGAAUCU